ACAGAACGGUGGCUUGCCAUGUUCAGGCCGUUGGAUUCUGCAUGUUCUUCUGGAGAUGGAAAAGGAACGAGAGAAACGAGAAAAGUUGUUCUGGGAGCUGCAGAUGCUGAAAUCAGGCCAAAGCAGAAUCUCUGACGGAAUCAACACACAAACGCUGUCUGAAAACUCCAGCAUCAAACACAAUAAAAAGCGAAACAAAAAGCUGUGUGGUUUGUCGAGUCUCCUGAGGUGGGCUAGAAGACUUUAUGUCAGGUCUAAAACACACACACACAUGCACGCUCAAACUGGCGCGCACACACACACAC